rnacentral:lncRNA from 1 species
AUGAACUCACUCUUCUCUCUCCUUCACAGAAACAGAAGAGGCAACUAUGAAAAGCAGACUAGGAUGGCAUUGCCUCAGGUGGAAAACUGGCUGGGGUUGCUCCAGGCCACAGAUCAGGUCCACAUCUGCUCCACAUCUCUCCAUGAACCAGUGGCUACCACAAGCAUGUCCUUCUCAUGGAAACUCACAAGAGCAGAAAAGGGUAAGUCUCUGCUUGCCUUACAUCUGCUCACAAUCCUUUGUUCAAAGUCCAUCUCAUAUUCAACCCGAAUUCAGUGGGGCAGCCAAAUGUAAUCCACCCCAAAAGGAAGGAGGAAGGAAGCGAAUAAUGUUGAUAAUGAUAAUUCAAUCAAUCUAACACAGAUGCUAAGCACUCAUCCUCCAUACAUAAGUCCUAACUACCUCACUGACAACUCCCUAAAACCUCCAUUUUGUAUCUGAUCCAAAUCCCCGAUGAAAAUUCAUGAAAAAGAUCUCGGUCACUGUUGCUGGAGGAUACACAUUAAUUGUAUCUACAUGUGUCCCUCAGAUCUCAGUCCCACAUUCUUGGGUAAUUAUAAGCAUGCUUUAUUUUCACUCUUAGGUAACGAAUGCCUUGGGGCAAAGCAUAUGUCUUUUUGAGGAUCCUUGCAGAUGUUUGGCUUGUAGUUGUUUUCCUUGAAUUGCUGGUGAAUGAAACAGUGGGAGCCUAUUGGACUUUACCAGUCACUUCUCUGAUAGGGCUCACCAGUCUCAGAGGAGGGUAGGCAUGGAUAGCCCAAGGCAGAGCCAGUGGUGGAGAUCAAGGUUUGUUUAGACUUAACACCCAGUUUUCAUGUACCACAGCAUGAAGGAAAGACAAGUUAUUUACCUUUCAAAACCCUCACCUCUUGACUCUGAACACUACCAGUCAAGGCUGAAGGCACUAUAUACAUGAAGGGGAUGCCUAAACCCACUUUUAACGACUUCAGACUUCAUCUCCUUUGUACUUCUAUCUCAUUAUUGUCAUUGUUGUCUCUAAAUGGCUUGCUUUUUCUUUAAGGCACGUAGCAUGCUUUUAAUUAAUUAAUGGUAACCAUGAAUAAUAUUCUGUGCCAGGUACUAAGCUAAGCAUUUAAUCUGAACUAAUAUAAUUAUUCUUCACAAUAUCUCCAUUAGGCAAGAACUAUUCCAUUGUGAUCACUUGACUUGAAAGCUCAGACUGGCCUUUUUUUUUUGUUUUGCACUACUUACCCUGUUGGAAAUAUAUAAUAGUGUGAGUGUUGGAAGUGCAAAUUCAGGAACCAGACAGCUUGAGCUUAAACCCUGCUCCCAAUCCUUACAUCUGUGUGACCGUAGACAAGCUACUUGUAUUCUAUGCCUCAGUUUCCUUUUCUACA